GGAUAAGUGGCAGUCGAUCUUCUAAUGACAAUGGACCACAGUGGUGAUUUGGAUAUAAUCUAGUUUAUGGUUAAACAAGUCUUUAAACUUUUCAUUCUUGCUGUGUUCCCGAGGAUAUUGUUUGCCCCCGACCCAACCAAAUAGAUUGGUCCAAGAAAACAAAGAUCAAAGAUGUUUCUCAUCAUUAGAUUAAUUCCACCCAAUGGCAUGGAGACCACAUUUUUUCCAAUGGAAUCACAGCAUUCUAAUUUCUAAGUUGAGUUAGGUUGCUUCUUGAAGGGAGCCUGCUAUACCUUGAAAAGUAGUAGUUGGAGCUCCUAAUUUUCAGUCAAACCAAUUUUCUGAAAAUUGGGUGAGCCGGUUGGGAUGGCUGCUAAUCUUAUCUACUUUGGUCAGCACUUUAUGUUUCAUCCCUCAUUCUUUAAAGAAUGAUAAUGAGAGCACCAUCAAAUAUAAUUACAUAGAUUUAACACUUGGAGAAACAAUAUCAUCAAGAUUUGAACCCCAACUUCCUUCACUAGCUGCAGCCGAGUCUGCCAUGUUUGAGAUUUGCCAAGCAAGAAGAGAUAACCCAAACUGCCCUCGAAGAUAAUAAAAUAACUUGCCUUGAAAACCUAGAAGAUAGUAAAAAUAACUUGAAGACUACUUCAUAUGCAUACGUGGAUAGGAGGUGAGAGAGUUGCAAAUAUAUAAUUAGAACCACUCAGAUGCUUUCCACCAAGCAUCCUCUUGGCCAUGGUGUACCUUAGGUUGCACAUACAGAGAAUGGUAAGAUGUGAAGGGUCAAGCCUUUGGCUUUGAGAUGAAGCUCGAAUUAUAAAAGCAAGGUAUCGUGCAGGUUUACUGGUGCACAGGAGAAGCACAUCAAGAGAAGCACAGGAAAUGCUGCGUAGGCUAAGGGAAAAGGAGAAUAAUUAGACUAAUUCAUAAGAAGGAGAUCAUCAUAUCAACACCAGUAAAGGUGGUAUUAUGGAGCCAAGCCAGAACAAGAGUGAGGAGAGAGAGAUUAGUGGAAUUAAAGAGAGGAUGACACCGAUCGUGACAAUUAGGAUAAGCACCUAAGAAUUGUCCUUGAUGACUUAUGACUCACACUGGGAUGCAGACCGAGAGGGAGACAUGGUCAAUUCGGUACAUAAAGCUAGAUGUUAAACGAUUGUAGACAGUUUCCAACCCUAAUGUAGGCGUUAAAUACGAGUUUAAGGUGGCCAAAUCCUAAAACUUUUAGUAUGAGGAGCCCAAGGUUUUAAAGAGGAAAGAGAGACCAAUGCCCGGGGUUCUACAAGAGAUAUAACUAGUAAGUCUAGAAGUCGUUACAAAUGGAUCAAUACUUUACCAUAAUCUGCCUCGAGGGAUGGGACCACAUGAUACAUAUAUUGAAAGAAUGUGCUAAAAAAUCUAGGACAAGGACAUUAUUUGAGAGGCUCUGGGCUUAAAUAAAAUAACCGACGUGUGGUCUCCAUCCUUGAAGAAGAUCUAACUUUGCACUUGAGUCUGAAAAUAAAAUAGCAUACUAGAGAUAGACUAGGAUCCGGUCAAGAAGAUCUCCACUCGGAUAUGAUAACGUUGAUAAUCUGAGCCACUAGAUGUGAUCUGCUAUCUCUGAACUGCUUGUACACUAAAAAUUGUAUGAUUUGGAGAUCGUUGGCAUGCGCAUCAAGUAAUCAAAAUAGUAUGUUUUGUUUUAUUACAUUUAAACUAUCUAAUUUUUGACCACUCAAUGCAUAAGCUAGAGAUCGCUAAAUCACAUGAAUUUUUGGUGUGUAAGUAGUUUAGAGGCAGUAUAUCACAUCCAAUAAUUUGGAUCAUUAAUGUCAGAUCUGAAUGAAAAUCUACUCAAUCCAAUCAUAUAUAUAUAUAUAUAUAUAUAGAGAGAGAGAGAGAGAGACACACACACACACACACACACACAUUAGUUCGAAUUAGGACUAGAAUCAGUCGGUAGGCCACACCACUAAUCAAAUGCAACCCAAAAGCUUUUUCGAUCUUUAGGCCUUCCUUUUUUCCAAAUCCUUAUCCGUGCUUAGGCUUGACCUAAAUAAACUUGGUUGGACCGAAUUAGCUUGACUGACCCAAAAUUCUUGGACUAAUUAGCCCAAAAUGCUUGGCGCAGCCUAAGAGACUCCUACCAAAAAGAAGAUCUUAAUGACAAACUUAGGCCGUGUUCAGGUUUUUGCUUCAACCGAGAAGACGGGCUCGAGCGGCAGAUUAGGGCCAAGCUAGCUAAUGUAUCAAAGGUUGUCCAAAAUUUAUUUAGAUCCUAUUUUUAGGUCCAAGCUUAACCUGAACAGUUUUGGGCCUAGUCCAAGGCUUAACCUCAACUGGCCCAGUCCAUUUCCAGCCCCACCUAAAAUAUAUGCAAGUAGCUUAUUGGCUGGAAUGGGUGGAAUUACUACUUUUUAUCCGAUUUAAUUGGGUUGGUGAAUUUGCGAGAGAAAAACGGUACCCCUCUACUAAUCAUGCUAGGUUAGUUUUAUCAAAAUGUCUGGCAUCUCAAGCUGCAGAUUGGGUUUAGGUAAAAUUAAAUAAAUCUCAUUUAGAUAAUCAAUGUAUAGAGCUUCAAAAAUUCCAAGGGUCUAGAUUAUAUGUGU
rnacentral:lncRNA from 1 species